rnacentral:rRNA from 1 species
AUUGAACGCUGGCGGCAAGCUUAACACAUGCAAGUCGAACGAGUGGCGGACGGGUGAGUAAUGUAUGGGAAACUGCCUGAUGGCGGGGGAUAACUACUGGAAACGGUAGCUAAUACCGCAUACCAUCGGAUGUGCCCAGAUGGGAUUAGCUAGUUGGUGGGGUAAAGGCUCACCAAGGCGACGCUCCCUAGCUGGUCUGAGAGGAUGACCAGCCACACUGGGACUGAGACACGGUCCAGACUCCUACGGGAGGCAGCAGUGGGGAAUUUUGCACAAUGGGCGCAAGCCUGAUGCAGCCAUGCCGCGUGUAUGAAGAAGGCCUUCGGGUUGUAAAGUACUUUCAGCGGGGAGGCGGUACCCGCAGAAGAAGCACCGGCUAACUCCGUGCCAGCAGCCGCGGUAAUUC